rnacentral:rRNA from 1 species
UACGUAGGGAGCAAGCGUUGUCCGGAAUCAUUGGGCGUAAAGCGCGCGUAGGCGGCCCUGUAAGUCCGUUGUGAAAGUCAAAGGCUCAACCUUUGAAUGCCGGUGGAUACUGUCGGGCUAGAGUCCGGAAGAGGCGAGUGGAAUUCCUGGUGUAGCGGUGGAAUGCGCAGAUAUCAGGAGGAACACCAAUAGCGAAGGCAGCUCGCUGGGACGGUACUGACGCUCAGGCGCGAAAGCGUGGGGAGCAAACAGG